rnacentral:rRNA from 1 species
UGAAGAAUAUUGGGCAAUGGGCGAAAGCCUGACCCAGCAACGCCGCGUGAAGGAAGAAGGUUUUCGGAUUGUAAACUUCUGUCCCAUGGGACGAAAAAAAUGACGGUACCAUGGGAGGAAGCCCCGGCUAACUACGUGCCAGCAGCCGCGGUAAUCCGUAGGGGGCAAGCGUUGUCAGGAAUUAUUGGGCGUAAAGGGAGCGUAGGCGGCCUUUAAAGUUGGAUGUGAAAUCCCCAGGCUUAACAUGGGAAUUGCAUGCGAAACGGGAGGGCUUGAGUGUGGAAGAGGUAAGUGGAAUUCCCAGUGUAGCGGUGAAAUGCGUAGAUAUUGGGAGGAACACCAGUGGCGAAGGCGACUUACUGGGCCACAACUGACGCUGAGGCACGAAAGCGUGGGGAGCAAACA